UUAAUUAAAGCCAAAAAGAGGCAUAUCACUGUUAAUGAUAAAAUUGAGUUAAUAAUUCUCUAAUUAAA
rnacentral:tRNA from 1 species